CACGACUCUCGGCAACGGAUAUCUCGGCUCUUGCAUCGAUGAAGAACGUAGCGAAAUGCGAUACCUGGUGUGAAUUGCAGAAUCCCGUGAACCAUCGAGUCUUUGAACGCAAGUUGCGCCCGAGGCCACUCGGUCGAGGGCACGCCUGCUUGGGCGUCACGCCA
rnacentral:rRNA from 1 species